UUUUUUGAUAAUGCCACCCUGAACGUGCCCAAUCUCAUCUGAUCUCGGAAGCUAAGCAGGGUCGGGCCUGGUUAGUACUUGGAUGGGAGACCACCUUGGAAUACUAAGUGUUGUAGGUGUUAAAAAAA
ensembl:rRNA 5S_rRNA 5S ribosomal RNA